rnacentral:lncRNA from 1 species
CAUCAUAUCAACUUAAAUCUUAGUACAGAUACAUGUAUGUUAUUUAUUAAAUUAACUUUUGAAAAUAUAUGCCUAAUUAGGAACUUGACCCAGAUUUGCUUAUCACAGAAAACGGACAUAUGAUAGUGAGAAAGCAGUCAGUCUGUCCUAUGGUCACAUAUUCUUGUAUUGAAUAUUAGUUUAGUUCUUUUCAAACAGUUGAUACAUACCAAGUUCUUUAUUAUAGAACUUUUUAUCUAUUUUGGAGAUUGAAUUAACUAAUGGAAAACAAUUGGCUAAUGAGUUGAGAAAAAACAAGUUUCCAAAAUUUGACAUUUGGCUCCAAAGUAUGAUCUUUAAAAAAAUGUAUUUAUUGUGAUAAUAUAUUUGUGUUGCACAAUAUUCUGUUCUGUACAGGUGUGAUCCUCCUUUAUAUAUUGGGAUAUUGGUUUAACACUUAACAAAUAUUAACAUGGAUGUACAUAGUGUGAAGGGGUGCACAAAUUUUUAUAGUUUUAUAUACAAUUUUAAUUUAAUUAUGUCAGACUGAAAACUUUGUUGAAAGCAAUGGCUUAAAAAUAAGGAGGUGAUUGAUCACACAGUAGAACAUUUAAAAAUUUUCCAGUAAUUAACAUUUUGACGUUUGUGUUAAAGAGCUUUUCAAUUUCACUAUGGCGAUAAGCAAAAGAGUUAAAAGAAUUGUUGGGAAUAUAAUGUUACUAUCAUAUAAAUGUAAAGUACUAUCUUUAUGGUCAAUAUGGUUUUCAUAUACCAAAGGGGUUGGUACUUAUGACUUAAUAGAUUUGUAUAUAUUUUCUUUGUAAAUUGAUAACAUUUAUAAAAUAGUGGGAAAUAAGAUAACAACAGACAAUAAAAAUCAGGACAGAAGAGAGACAGAAGGAGUAUGGACAAAACAAAAACAUCCACAGAAAACGCAAACCCCUCAGAAUUAGAGGUGAACUCAAAUACUCCUGAUGUGAAAGCAGUUCUUUUUCACAUAGUGGCACCUCUUAUGUUGAUCAAAUUUAAUUGAAAAUCCCAUAAUCAAUCAAAUAGUGAAGUAAAUGCUCAAAAGUGGAUUGGAUUAAUGUUCAGAAAUAUUUUGUUAAUUACAAAGUUUAUUGAUUGUAGUGCAGAAACAAUGAUACAUAAUAUUUGAUUUGGGAUAUAACCAGUGUAAGACUGGAUUAUGAUUAUUGUAACACUUAUCAAGUUUAAAGUAUGCAGACUAAUUAAUUUUAGACAGUUGAUAAAUAACCCAUAUUUAAGUGCAAGCUGUUGACACAAAAAAAGAGGCAAAAGAAACUAAAUGAAUAUUCUAAGCCAUCUGUUGAAAACAAAUUGACAAUGCAAUGGCAAGAAACCAAAAAACAAGGAAAAUGCAAACAAAGGUAUACAAAACAUAAGAAGGAAUACUGAAGACUGAGCAACACGAAUUCCACCAAAACCAGGGGGAGGGGAUCUUAGGUGCUCUGGAAUGGAACUUUUUAAGCAUAUCCUGCUCCACAUGUGGCACCCCUUGUGAGAACAUUACAAUAACAGAAAGUAAACUAAUAAUUACAAUAGAAUAUAGAACAACUGAGUCAACUUUAUUAUUUAAACUAUAUAUAUUUAUUAACCAAUUCAUGCCAUUUUACAGGCGCCACCACCUGCCAAUGACCCAUUUGAUACCUUCUUUAAAUAAGUAAGUACAUCACACCAUAAAGAAUUAAAGAAAGAACAAAUUUGAAAGAGAAAAUAAGAGAUUUUGUCAUAAUCUAGAAACAAAUUCUUACUUAAGCAUGUUUAGUAAUUAAAUUUAUUCUUGUUAGUAUCAAGGUUCAUCCACAAAUUUUUUUUUUUUUUAAAGUGACUAUUUUUAUCAUACUUUGAUCUAAUUUAUGAAAUAACAUUUGUUGUUUACAUGUAUCACCAUUUGUGAGGGUCUAAAUGGGGUCCCUUAUAUAUUUUUGAAUUAUUUAGAGAAUUUUUUUCUAAAUUUUGUACAUUGUUGCUCGUUAUUCGUUAUUCAUUGUAUUUCUUCUCAUAUAUUUCAGGGGCGGAUUCAGCCAUUUUCUAAAGGGGGUUCCAAACCCAGAAUAAAAGGGGGUGUUGGUCCAACCAUAUUUCCCCAUUCAAAUGCAUUGAUCGUCCAAAAAAAAGGGUGGUUCCCCAUCCCCAUCUGAAUUGGCCAGUGUCCAUUUUGUUUUAUAUUUUGGCACCCCAUUAUUCUCUUGGCCAUGUAAGUACCAAGACACUUUGAAAAAUUGUUUUGAUCAUUAUUGAUUUUUUUAAAAUAAACUUUGGUUACAAUGUUGCUUUAUAUGUAAUAAUUCAAGAAAAAUACAAAAAAUGUUUUUAAAAGUAAGAGUUUUUUUCAUUAAAAGAAAAAUAAUUUUCAAAACUGAAUUGUGACUUUUUGUCUGUGAUUUUUUAGCUCACCUGACCCAAAGGGCCAAGUGAGCUUUUCUCAUCACUUGGCGUCCGGCGUCUGUCGUCGUCGUCCGUUGUUGUUGUUAAAUUUUACAAAAAUCUUCUCCUGAAACUACUGGGCCAAAUUUCACCAAACUUGACCACAAUCAUCAUUGGAGUAUCUAGUUUAAAAAGUGUGUCCGGUGACCCGGCCAACCAACCAAGAUGGCCGCCAUGACUAAACAUAGAACAUAGGGGUAAAAUGUAGAUUUUGGCUUGUAACUCUAAAACCAAAAGCAUUUAGAGCAAAUCUGACAUGGGGUAAAAUUAUUGAUCAAGUGAAGAUCUAUCUGUCCUGAAAUUUUCAGAUGAAUCAGACAACCGGUUGUUGGGUUGCUGCCCCUGAAUUGGUAAUUUUAAGGAAAUUUUGCCGUUUUUGGUUAUUAUCUUGAAUACUAUUAUAGAUAGAGAUAAACUGUAAACAGCAAUAAUGUUCAGCAAAGUAAGGUCUACAAAUAAGUCAACAUGAACAAACUGGUCAGUUGACCCCUUAAGGAGUUAUUGCCCUUUAUAGUCAAUUUUUUCAAUUUUCAUUAAUUUGGUAAAUUUUUGUAAAUUUUUACAAAAUAUUUUCCUCUGUAACUAAAGGGCCAAGUUUAUUAUAGAUAUAGAAAAUUGUAAGUAGCAAGAAUGUUCAGUAAAGUAAGAUCUACAAACACAACACCAUCAUCAAAAAACAAUUUUGUCAUGAAUCCAUCUGUGUCCUUUGUUUAAUAUGUGUAUGCACAUACAAUGUAGACAAAGGUGAGUGACACAGGCUCUUAAGAGCCUCUAGUUGUCUGAAAGUUUUUGUCUGACUAUUUGUCUGAAUUUUUGUCUGUGACUUUUUGUCUAUGACUUUAUGUACUGUGACUUUCUGUCCAACAGUUGUGAUAUAAUAAAUUCUUGACUAAUCAUGAUUCUUAUACUUUUUUCCAGAACAUUACUUAAGAUGUAGAUACCAGUCACCAGUCGACAGUCAGCUUUAAAAGAUAUUGUUAUUAGUGUUCAAAGAAAUUGUAUUAAAUCAUUUACUUUGUUUAUUAUAUAUGCAAUAUAAUAUUACAUACAAAACCUCUUUAGUUUUAUUAUGAAUUUAAUUUUGAAUUUAGAUUGUAUAUUACAAUUGUUCAUUCAUUUAUUUAUACACAUUAUAGUGAUUAAAGCAAAAAAAGUUUACAAUUACACAACUCAAUGGCAGGGUCACUUUAUUUUGGCAUUAGAUUAUUUCCUUUUUUUAUGUACUUUGUAGAAUUUUUGUCUGAUGAUUUUUUUCAAAAUUCAGCGAAGUGAAUAAAAUUCAAAUAAGAUUAUUAUGAGUUUACACCAUAUGCAUUGAAUUUAGUAUUUUAAAUUUGGUUUAGUAUAUUGUAAAAAAAAAUAAGUUUGUUAUGUUAUAGAAGUCUUUUAAGGAGGUAGACCUAGGUUAAGGGAAAUAACUCAUAAAAUCAUCAGUACGUUUGUGUCAGCCAUUUUCAUAAAUAUGUUCUAAGCAUCUUGGAUACAUAGAUGAUUUCCAAUCUGUUUCAGGUAAAUGCUUAAAAUUCAUUGACGAAACUUGACUUUUACAAAAGCAUAAUGAUUUAAAGAGUUACCUUCUACCCCCUUCAAGAAUUACAAGAACAAUUUUACAGUAUCAUGAAUUGAAAAUAUUAUGAGUCUAUUUCUAUGCAUUUUGAAAAACACAGUACACAUGUACUAUUAACAUAAACAGUGCCUUUACAAUUUUUUGAGUAAAAACAGUAACAGAAUAUUUUUGUAUUGAUUGUUUAUUUGUUGUUUGGGUGUUUUAAGUAAAAUCACAAGUAGAUAAAGUUGAGAUAGAAUGAUAUCUAUUUUUUUUAAAUGCAAGCACAAAUUUGUUAGACAUGGGGUGAUUCAAAACUUUGCAUUUUGUUUAGACACCAGUCUGAUGAUGCAGACUGUGAAUUGACCGCUAGAUUUUGUUUGUUUUUGUAUUGUUUGGUUGCCGUCUGUAUCCAACAUGUACCUUUCUGUAGGGACCAAUAUACUGAAGUAUUAUUUUUUGUUAAAUGUGCCUUGACUGUUACAGAAUUUGAAUUUUGAUUUAUUAUAUUAAAUAUAUAAGAAAAAUACUCCUUUACAUGGAAUAGAUUAAACUUUUAAAUUUACAUUUUGCAAGGUCAGGAUUAUUUUUGCUAGGGUAGAAUGCAAGUUUUGGUAGCCACUGCCAAGAGGAAUUUAUGUUUUAUUUAUUUGUUUGUUUGUUUAUAUGUUGUUUUUGUGUUUGAACCAAACAGCACAAGGUUAAAGUUCAAGAUCAAAUGAAAGCAUUAAUACCUUAGUUUCUGUAAUCUUUUUUUCUCAGCAAGGUAAUACAAUGUAGUGCAAUAAAUACUUUUUAUUGUUGAAUUUAUUCAUUUUAUUUAUAUAUAUAUAUUAUAUGUAUAUUUAUAAGCCAUGGAGUGAGCAGGUACAAUAUAGUGCUCAGUGAUAUCCCCUAAUCUAUGUAACUUUCUUCAAGUUAUAGUUAUUCCAUGUUUAUGCAUUGACAGAGAAAUUCAAUUAAUUGAAGUCCUAUGUUAACUUCUUUCAGACUUCCAGCAGAAGCAGGAAGAAAUAUCACUAUGAAAAAGCAGGGAAAAAGAGGUCAAAUUUAUAGAAGAAAAAAUGUGUCAAAAAUAAAGUCUAAUACUGUUAUGUUAACUUUUUUUUAUUUUGAACCUUAAUGUAAAGCCUUUUUUUUUGUCAAACCAAAGUCCUAUGUCUACAUUUUCUUUAGCUCUAGCGCACACAUUUGUUUAUUUAUUAGAAAAUUUAAUAGUCUUAUGCUUUUGAUUCUAUUUAUAACAGCUAGCACAUGUGAAAAUCAUAUAUCAUGUUAAAAAAUGCUUUUUAGUAAGAUUAUAGCAGAAAAAAAUCUGCCUUACUGUUAUUGAAGCAUUUCUGUAAAUGUUUUAUAUUGAGCUACACCAUUAAAUAUAUACAAUGUA